rnacentral:rRNA from 1 species
UACGUAGGGACCAAGCGUUGUUCGGAUUUACUGGGCGUAAAGGGCGCGUAGGCGGCAAUUCAAGUCAUCUGUGAAAUCUCCGGGCUUAACUCGGAAUGGUCAGGUGAUACUGCUUUGCUAGAGUGCGGAAGGGGCUACUGGAAUUCUCGGUGUAGCGGUGAAAUGCGUAGAUAUCGAGAGGAACACCUGCGGCGAAGGCGGGUAGCUGGGCCGACACUGACGCUGAGGCGCGAAAGCUAGGGGAGCGAACGGG